UGAGGAAUAUUGGGCAAUGCCCGCAAGGGUGACCCAGCAACGCCGCGUGGAGGAUGAAUGUCGUAAGAUUGUAAACUCCUGUUAGAGGGGAAGAAUAGUACCGGUUGGACCGGUAUAUGACUGUACCCUCAGAGAAAGCCCCGGCUAACUACGUGCCAGCAGCCGCGGUAAUACGUAGGGGGCAAGCGUUGUCCGGAUUUACUGGGUGUAAAGGGCGCGCAGGCGGGAUAAAAAGUCAGUGGUGAAAUCCUACAGCUUAACUGUAGAACUGCCUUUGAUACUUUUAUUCUUGAGUUCGGGAGAGAGAGACGGAAUUCCAGGUGUAGUGGUGAAAUACGUAGAUAUCUGGAAGAACACCAGUUGCGAAGGCGGUCUCUUGGUCCGACACUGACGCUGAUGCGCGAAAGCCAGGGGAGCAAACG
rnacentral:rRNA from 1 species